GGUUAAGCGACUAAGCGUACACGGUGGAUGCCCUGGCAGUCAGAGGCGAUGAAGGACGUGCUAAUCUGCGAUAAGCGUCGGUAAGGUGAUAUGAACCGUUAUAACCGGCGAUUUCCGAAUGGGGAAACCCAGUGUGUUUCGACACACUAUCAUUAACUGAAUCCAUAGGUUAAUGAGGCGAACCGGGGGAACUGAAACAUCUAAGUACCCCGAGGAAAAGAAAUCAACCGAGAUUCCCCCAGUAGCGGCGAGCGAACGGGGAGCAGCCCAGAGCCUGAAUCAGUGUGUGUGUUAGUGGAAGCGUCUGGAAAGGCGCGCGAUACAGGGUGACAGCCCCGUACACAAAAAUGCACAUGCUGUGAGCUCGAUGAGUAGGGCGGGACACGUGGUAUCCUGUCUGAAUAUGGGGGGACCAUCCUCCAAGGCUAAAUACUCCUGACUGACCGAUAGUGAACCAGUACCGUGAGGGAAAGGCGAAAAGAACCCCGGCGAGGGGAGUGAAAAAGAACCUGAAACCGUGUACGUACAAGCAGUGGGAGCACGCUUAGGCGUGUGACUGCGUACCUUUUGUAUAAUGGGUCAGCGACUUAUAUUCUGUAGCAAGGUUAACCGAAUAGGGGAGCCGAAGGGAAACCGAGUCUUAACUGGGCGUUAAGUUGCAGGGUAUAGACCCGAAACCCGGUGAUCUAGCCAUGGGCAGGUUGAAGGUUGGGUAACACUAACUGGAGGACCGAACCGACUAAUGUUGAAAAAUUAGCGGAUGACUUGUGGCUGGGGGUGAAAGGCCAAUCAAACCGGGAGAUAGCUGGUUCUCCCCGAAAGCUAUUUAGGUAGCGCCUCGUGAAUUCAUCUCCGGGGGUAGAGCACUGUUUCGGCAAGGGGGUCAUCCCGACUUACCAACCCGAUGCAAACUGCGAAUACCGGAGAAUGUUAUCACGGGAGACACACGGCGGGUGCUAACGUCCGUCGUGAAGAGGGAAACAACCCAGACCGCCAGCUAAGGUCCCAAAGUCAUGGUUAAGUGGGAAACGAUGUGGGAAGGCCCAGACAGCCAGGAUGUUGGCUUAGAAGCAGCCAUCAUUUAAAGAAAGCGUAAUAGCUCACUGGUCGAGUCGGCCUGCGCGGAAGAUGUAACGGGGCUAAACCAUGCACCGAAGCUGCGGCAGCGACGCUUAUGCGUUGUUGGGUAGGGGAGCGUUCUGUAAGCCUGUGAAGGUGUGCUGUGAGGCAUGCUGGAGGUAUCAGAAGUGCGAAUGCUGACAUAAGUAACGAUAAAGCGGGUGAAAAGCCCGCUCGCCGGAAGACCAAGGGUUCCUGUCCAACGUUAAUCGGGGCAGGGUGAGUCGACCCCUAAGGCGAGGCCGAAAGGCGUAGUCGAUGGGAAACAGGUUAAUAUUCCUGUACUUGGUGUUACUGCGAAGGGGGGACGGAGAAGGCUAUGUUGGCCGGGCGACGGUUGUCCCGGUUUAAGCGUGUAGGCUGGUUUUCCAGGCAAAUCCGGAAAAUCAAGGCUGAGGCGUGAUGACGAGGCACUACGGUGCUGAAGCAACAAAUGCCCUGCUUCCAGGAAAAGCCUCUAAGCAUCAGGUAACAUCAAAUCGUACCCCAAACCGACACAGGUGGUCAGGUAGAGAAUACCAAGGCGCUUGAGAGAACUCGGGUGAAGGAACUAGGCAAAAUGGUGCCGUAACUUCGGGAGAAGGCACGCUGAUAUGUAGGUGAAGCGACUUGCUCGUGGAGCUGAAAUCAGUCGAAGAUACCAGCUGGCUGCAACUGUUUAUUAAAAACACAGCACUGUGCAAACACGAAAGUGGACGUAUACGGUGUGACGCCUGCCCGGUGCCGGAAGGUUAAUUGAUGGGGUCAGCGCAAGCGAAGCUCUUGAUCGAAGCCCCGGUAAACGGCGGCCGUAACUAUAACGGUCCUAAGGUAGCGAAAUUCCUUGUCGGGUAAGUUCCGACCUGCACGAAUGGCGUAAUGAUGGCCAGGCUGUCUCCACCCGAGACUCAGUGAAAUUGAACUCGCUGUGAAGAUGCAGUGUACCCGCGGCAAGACGGAAAGACCCCGUGAACCUUUACUAUAGCUUGACACUGAACAUUGAGCCUUGAUGUGUAGGAUAGGUGGGAGGCUUUGAAGUGUGGACGCCAGUCUGCAUGGAGCCGACCUUGAAAUACCACCCUUUAAUGUUUGAUGUUCUAACGUUGACCCGUAAUCCGGGUUGCGGACAGUGUCUGGUGGGUAGUUUGACUGGGGCGGUCUCCUCCUAAAGAGUAACGGAGGAGCACGAAGGUUGGCUAAUCCUGGUCGGACAUCAGGAGGUUAGUGCAAUGGCAUAAGCCAGCUUGACUGCGAGCGUGACGGCGCGAGCAGGUGCGAAAGCAGGUCAUAGUGAUCCGGUGGUUCUGAAUGGAAGGGCCAUCGCUCAACGGAUAAAAGGUACUCCGGGGAUAACAGGCUGAUACCGCCCAAGAGUUCAUAUCGACGGCGGUGUUUGGCACCUCGAUGUCGGCUCAUCACAUCCUGGGGCUGAAGUAGGUCCCAAGGGUAUGGCUGUUCGCCAUUUAAAGUGGUACGCGAGCUGGGUUUAGAACGUCGUGAGACAGUUCGGUCCCUAUCUGCCGUGGGCGCUGGAGAACUGAGGGGGGCUGCUCCUAGUACGAGAGGACCGGAGUGGACGCAUCACUGGUGUUCGGGUUGUCAUGCCAAUGGCACUGCCCGGUAGCUAAAUGCGGAAGAGAUAAGUGCUGAAAGCAUCUAAGCACGAAACUUGCCCCGAGAUGAGUUCUCCCUGACUCCUUGAGAGUCCUGAAGGAACGUUGAAGACGACGACGUUGAUAGGCCGGGUGUGUAAGCGCAGCGAUGCGUUGAGCUAACCGGUACUAAUGAACCGUGAGGCUUAACCUU
rnacentral:rRNA from 1 species